rnacentral:misc_RNA from 1 species
ACUUAAUAUAUCCCUUUGCCGAUUGCAUGGGAAAACCGGUAUUGUUUUUGCGAGCUCGAGCUCUUCUUAAGCCAGCAUUUAACACUUUAUCUGCAUAUUAUCGCCACUACACCAACCCAUUCGCAGACAUCAUGUCGUCAACCAAAGACAACAAACUGAUAUGGAAGCUGACGCCCGACAUUAUCAAGAAGUCGGCCGAUGAUCUGAUGACAAAAACCAAAACUGUUUACGACACUGUAGGGGCACUGUCGUCGGAAUCUGUCACAUACAACAGUGUUGUCAAGGCGCUUGCUGACAAUGAUUGUGAAUAUGCUGUGGUGCGAAACAACCUCGAUUUUAUGCAGCAUGUGUCACCUGACAAGGACUUGAGGAACUCUAGCGUAGAAGUGGACAAAAAACUCUCCGAGUUUGAUGUGGAAAUGAGCAUGCGCCAGGAUGUGUUUGAUGCACUUGUUGCCUUUGAAAAAAAAUCUUCAACGGACGGCUCAACAGAAUCCAAACGAUAUGUGGAGAGGAUGAUCAAGCUGGGGAGAAGAAAUGGCCUCCAUCUGCCCACUGACAAACAGCAGAAGAUCAAAGAAAUAAAGAAGAGGAUGAGUGAUCUCUCCAUUGACUUCAGUAAAAACCUUAAUGAGGAGAACACCAUUCUUACCUUCACAGAAGAAGAGCUUGCUGGAGUUCCAGAAGAUUUCCUGAAAUCUUUAGAGAAAAAUGAGGAUGGUAAACUAAAGGUCUCAUUGAAGUAUCCUCAUUACUUCCCAUGCAUGAAGAAGGCCAGGAAUCCAGAAACCAGGAAAAAACUGGAGACUGCAUUCAACUCGCGAAAGCAGACAUCUUGGGGUUUCCAACCCACGCUGCGUUUGUUCUAGACAUGAGGAUGGCCAAAGACCCUGAGAAGGUGAGGACAUUCCUUGUUGACCUGGCCCAGAAACUCCGCCCCCUACAGGAACAGGAAGUCAAAGUUUACCUGGAGUAUAAGAAGGAGGAGUGUGAUAAAUAUGGAUACGAGUAUGACGGAAAGAUCCACUACUGGGACCUCCGUUACUAUAUGACUAUGACAGAAGAACGACAGUACGCCGUGGAUUCUAACCUUCUGAAGGAGUACUUCCCCAUGGAAGUGGUGACCACAGGGCUGCUGGAUAUCUACCAGGAGUUGCUGGAUCUCAAGUUUACACAAGUCAAAGAUGUGGAAGUUUGGCAUCCUGAGGUCACGUUGUACAGUGUAGUGGACAGGGAAUCGUCCAAUCUCCUAGGCUAUUUUUAUCUGGACCUGUAUCCCCGAGAAGGAAAAUAUGGACAUGCUGCUUGCUUUGGACUGCAGCCGGGGUGUAUACAGCCAGAUGGGAAGAGACAGAUAACUGUGGCUGCCAUGGUUGCUAACUUCACCAAACCAACAGAGGAUAAACCAGCCCUGCUUACACACGAUGAGGUGGAGACCUACUUCCAUGAGUUUGGUCAUGUGAUGCAUCAGAUCUGUGCUCAAUCCGAAUUUGCUCUGUUCAGUGGAACCAGUGUGGAGAGAGAUUUUGUGGAGGCCCCGUCCCAGAUGUUGGAGAACUGGUGCUGGGAGAAGGAACCUCUACAGAGAAUGUCCAAACACUACAAAACAGGGGAGGCAAUCCCCGACCACCUGCUGGACAAACUGAUCAAAAGCCGGAUCGCUAACGCUGGCAUGUUUAACCUGCGACAGAUCCUGCUGGGAAUGUUUGACCAGACCAUCCACACACAGAAAAAGGUGGACACAGCCAAACUGUUCUCAGAGAUCUCACAGGAGUAUCUGGGAUUCCCGUCCACAGAGGGCACCAACAUGUCUGCCUCAUUCGGGCACCUGGCGGGAGGGUACGACGCCCAGUACUAUGGGUACAUGUGGAGUGAAGUUUUCUGUAUGGACAUGUUUUACACUCGCUUUAAGAAGGAGGGCAUCAUGAGUCCAAAGGUCGGUGGGGACUACAGGAGAUGUAUACUGCAGCCCGGGGGAUCAAUAGAUGCCGCGGAUAUGUUACGUAACUUCCUGGGUCGUGACCCUACCCCAGAAGCUUUCCUCAUCAGUAAGGGACUUAACCCGAAUGCAUAAUGUACAAGGACUACCAGAGACUUGACUCCUGAUUAUCUUCUGUAAUGAGUGGAAACUUGAUAAAGACAUUAUCUAUCUGCAGGAACAUAUUGGCAAAGGAAUGUGCUAAAACUUCCGUUGCUGUUGAAUUGCCAGAGUGGAUAGAGUGUCAUUCUAUGAUUUUUCGAAAAUUAUAUCGUUCAAUUAUGCUGAAUACUUGAUUAAACAAACACAU